GACGAACGCUGGCGGCGCGCUUAACACAUGCAAGUCGAGCGAGAACCGGUCCUUCGGGACCGGGGAAAGCGGCGAACGGGUGAGUAACACGUGGGUAAUCUGCCCUCGGUUUCGGGAUAGCCCGGGGAAACCCGGAUUAAUACCGAAUGGCCCUUUCGGUCUUCGGAUUGAAAGGAAAAGGUAGCUUCGGCCUCCGACCGAGGAUGAGCCCGCGGCGGAUUAGCUUGUUGGUGGGGUAACGGCCUACCAAGGCGACGAUCCGUAGCUGGUCUGAGAGGACGAUCGGCCACACUGGGACGGAGACACGGCCCAGACUCCUACGGGAGGCAGCAGUGGGGAAUCUUGCGCAAUGGGCGAAAGCCUGACGCAGCGACGCCGCGUGCGGGAAGAAGGCCUUCGGGUUGUAAACCGCUUUCAGGUGGGACGAAGCCACUCGGGUGAAUAGCCCAGAGGGUGACGGUACCUCCAGAAGAAGUCCCGGCUAACUACGUGCCAGCCGCCGCGGUAA
rnacentral:rRNA from 1 species